rnacentral:snoRNA from 1 species
AUGUCAUGAUUAGGACAAUUCCUAAACAAAUCCUUGAAUCUUGCCCAAGCUUCUGUAUAGCUCUAGAGAUCAUUUUGUUUAAAUGUGUAGAAUUUAUUCCAAAUUU